AUGUUCGAGCAAUUUGGGCAUAUCAUCUAUGAAUGUGGUGCUUACCAAGUUGAAGAGGUUGAGAAAGGGAAAACAUAUGUCGCAAUACAUACUGACUCAGCGAGGAGGGAGAAGUGGUGCAGGGUUUCAUACAAGGUCACCAUCGUAGAUGGUGGACAUGAAUUUGAUUGUGAAUGUGGCCAAAUCUCCCACAUGGGCAUGCUGUGCAGCCAUGUUCUGAAGGUAUUUACAUAUAUCUAA
rnacentral:rRNA from 1 species